CCCUUUUGUGGAAAGCAGUACUUGCCACGACUUCAGGUGGCACGCGUGUGUUCACUGUCGUGUGUGUCUGUUUUUCCCAGGUAUCA
rnacentral:miRNA from 1 species